AUUUUUUUUAUUGGGCCACCAAUCCAAAAACCCUCUCCACAUUAUUCCUCCUAAAUUAGCUACCCACUAGCCAGCCCAAUUAAAUCAUCAACACAAGCAAAACAAAUCUGACCCAUCACUCCUAUAAUACCCUUCUUCCAGCAAACCUCAUCAACAUCAGCUCCCAAAAAAACAUCAACAACGUGCAAAACCCGCCCCCCAGACCCGAAAUUCAAAACAACGACAACAACAAUGCAACAGCUUCCAACAAUUUCAACACAACAACACCCACUUUCAACUCAACCACGGCAAAAGCCAAAAUGAAAAGUCAACAACGGCAGCUCACCUCCAACGGGCUAAUCCGGAUUUCGCUCAAAAUCGUUCGAUCGUAUUUGAUUUCGUAUGAAUGCGGAUGGUCACGAUCAAUUUAUGUUUGAAUUUCAAAUAUUUCUUCCUCAAUUUCUUAUUUUUUUUCCCCCAAAACACUAUUCCGAAAAUCCUAUAUAAAUACCCAUUUAGUUUAUUGAAGAAGGGGGGAUUUUUGGGGAAAAACUUGGAGAUUCACGUAACCAAAAAUUUAUUGAAAUCAUUUGAAACUCCAGCAAAAUCGAUUUGAAUUCAGAUUUUGAAGUCAUCUUUUUCAUCUCGUUAUCCCAGUUCCUGCCCCCAAAAAGGUAAAUUUCCUCAUCCUCUCGCGAUGUGAUUCUGGUUGCAACUUAUGUCGUUGAUAUGGUUGUGUAUUGGUCGUCGAUAUAUUACUGUGGUAUGGGGUAGUAAACUUUGUUUGGUAGUAGCAAGUGGUGUUAACGUGUUUUGUUGUUAUCAUGUACUGUGUUGUAUUAUAGUUUGGUAGCAGCAAUUGGUGUUAUGUGUUUUAGCGUUAUCAUGUACUAUGUUGUAUCAUAGUUAAGAUAUAAGUAGGUAAAUGUUGAAUGCUGCCGGUAGAACAUAAAGAAAUCUCACAUACUAAAGUCUAAUGGAUUAGAAUAAGAAAUUAUUUCCAUUUUGGGAGUUUGUCAUAACUUUCCCAAACAGAUUGUCAUGAUACAAUGUCUAGCUUGAACCAUAUUCGGAGUUUUAACUAUAUGCCAACCUAUAUAUCUUUUCAUAUUUUAUCGAGCAAAUAGAUGUUUCCCUCACAUGUUAAUUAUUAAGCUAAUGUGGAUUUUCUUCUAAUCCUUUUCUUUUUUAUGUUGCAUGAACCCAUCUUGAAGCAGCUGGUGAACACUCGAAAGCAGCUGAUAGCGGCUUAUAUUAAAAUUGGAAGCGAGCAUUCAAGGUUUAUACACAGAUAUACAGCGCGUAUACAAAAACGCAGCAGCAAUAGGGAUGAUAUACAGUCAGUAUACAACUAUUGUACACUUCAGAAAAAUGGACUGAAGUUCAUAAUUCAAGCCCAAAACUGGGCAGCUUCAUUACUGGGUCAAUUGAGGACCCAAUUUUAAUUCUUGCAUUAUUUUUGUAGCUUGUAUUGUUUAUUGGAAAAUUUCAGAAAAAACAACUACAGAGUCUUAAUUGUAAUUUUUAUAGCAACAGUUUCAUAAUUACGAAAAAUAGCAAAUUGUAUUUUGUAUUUAAGUAAAUUGCUGCUAUACAAAUACAUAUACAACAAGAUUUAUUUUUCUUGAUUUACUCAAAUUAGUUGAGUUAAAUAAGGAAUAAUUAUCCCAUCUAAUUAAAUUUUCAUAAAUUACUCUUAUUUAAAUUAGUAGAUUUCUUU
rnacentral:lncRNA from 1 species